GACGUCUACGAGUUUGAUCCUGGCUCAGAACGAACGCUGGCGGCAUGCCUAACACAUGCAAGUCGAACGAACCCUUCGGGGUUAGUGGCGCACGGGUGCGUAACGCGUGGGGAUCUGCCCAAAGGUUCGGAAUAACUCAGAGAAAUUUGAGCUAAUACCGGAUAAUGUCUUCGGACCAAAGAUUUAUUGCCUUUGGAUGAACCCGCGUAGGAUUAGCUUGUUGGUGGGUAAAGGCCUACCAAGGCGACGAUCCUUAGCUGGUCUGAGAGGAUGAUCAGCCACACUGGGACUGAGACACGGCCCAGACUCCUACGGGAGGCAGCAGUGGGGAAUAUUGGACAAUGGGCGAAAGCCUGAUCCAGCAAUGCCGCGUGAGUGAUGAAGGCCUUAGGGGUUGUAAAAGCUCUUUUACCAGGGAUGAUAAUGACAGUACCUGGAGAAUAAGCUCCGGCUAACUCCGUG
rnacentral:rRNA from 1 species